rnacentral:rRNA from 1 species
GAUGAACGCUGGCGGCGCGCCUAAUACAUGCAAGUCGAGCGAACGGACGAGAAGCUUGCUUCUCUGAUGUUAGCGGCGGACGGGUGAGUAACACGUGGAUAACCUACCUAUAAGACUGGGAUAACUUCGGGAAACCGGAGCUAAUACCGGAUGAUAUUUUGAACCGCAUGGUUCAAAAGUGAAAGACGGUCUUGCUGUCACUUAUAGAUGGAUCCGCGCUGCAUUAGCUAGUUGGUAAGGUAACGGCUUACCAAGGAAACGAUGCAUAGCCGACCUGAGAGGGUGAUCGGCCACACUGGAACUGAGACACGGUCCAGACUCCUACGGGAGGCAGCAGUAGGGAAUCUUCCGCAAUGGGCGAAAGCCUGACGGAGCAACGCCGCGUGAGUGAUGAAGGUCUUCGGAUCGUAAAACUCUGUUAUUAGGGAAGAACAUAUGUGUAAGUAACUGUGCACAUCUUGACGGUACCUAAUCAGAAAGCCACGGCUAACUACGUG